GUAACCUUUAAAAUUGUUGUCGCGCACUAAAAACCCCCAUGGGAACUUUCAAAAGUUUGCGGGUAUGUAACCAGUCUUACUAUUUUUAUGCCCCAUUUAUGGGCAUUAUGUUUUCUGGUCUGUCCGUCCGUCCUGCUUCAGGUUAAAGUUUAUGGUCGAGGUAGUUUUUGAUGAAGUCGAAAUCCAAUCAACUUGAAACUUAGUACACAUGUGUUCCUUAUGAUAUGAUCUUUCUAAUUUUACUGCCAAAUUAAAGAUUUUACCUAAUUUUCACAGUCCACUGAACAUAGAAAAUGAUUGUACGGAUGGGAAAUCCAUGUACUUAUGACACA
rnacentral:lncRNA from 1 species